rnacentral:misc_RNA from 1 species
UUGUGGAGGAGGACGCCGAAGGUGGGGCUAAUGACUGGGGUGAAGUCGUAACAAGGUAGCCGUACCGGAAGGUGCGGCUGGAUCACCUCCUAACAGGGAGACAACAAAAUGUUUAAUAUUAUUAUUUUGUCACCUUAGGUCGAUCGGUAUCUCACAUUCUUAAAUUAUUUAAGGAUUUCAUUUCCUAAGUUUUUCUAGGUCACACCCAUUUUUUCCUGGGCCAUUAGCUCAGGUGGUUAGAGCGCACCCCUGAUAAGGGUGAGGUCCCUGGUUCAAGUCCAGGAUGGCCCAUAUCUCUAUGUUGGGGGUAUAGCUCAGUUGGUAGAGCGCCUGCUUUGCAAGCAGGAUGUCAGCGGUUCGAGUCCGCUUACCUCCACUGAUUACCACCUCUUCCAUAAUUUUGGGAAGGAAAUUUUUGAGUUGUGAUCUAAACCUGAACGAUUCUAGCUUCCUAGUGAAAUCAUUAAGAUGCUGGACUCAUUGAAUUAAUUUCAUUGUUUUCAGAGAACCUUGACAACUGCAUAGAUUAUUUUUAAAGACAAUAAGCAUCUUUAUUGAUGCAGAUUUAUUAUUAUUGCAAAUGCAUUAAUAACAAUUCUAUUAAGCUGAUGCUUCAAUUUUGAAGUUAUUGGGCAAGCUACAA